rnacentral:rRNA from 1 species
UACGUAGGGUGCAAGCGUUGUCCGGAAUUAUUGGGCGUAAAGAGCUCGUAGGCGGUCUGUCGCGUCGGCUGUGAAAACCCGGAGCUCAACUCCAGGCCUGCAGUCGAUACGGGCAGACUGGAGUUCGGCAGGGGAGACUGGAAUUCCUGGUGUAGCGGUGAAAUGCGCAGAUAUCAGGAGGAACACCGGUGGCGAAGGCGGGUCUCUGGGCCGAUACUGACGCUGAGGAGCGAAAGCGUGGGGAGCGAACAGG